rnacentral:lncRNA from 13 species
AUGGAGCAAGAGGGGAAAGGACUGGAGAGGGAAAAGAAGGACAGAGAUGGAAGGGACAAGCAGAAGGAACUGGAGGAAGGAGGCAGCAGAACUGGGGGGAACUGGGGAGAAGAAAGGAGGAGGGAGGAAAUGGUGAAACGUGACAGAAAAUGUGGGGCUGAGGGUGGGAAAAGGGGAACGAAGAAGAUGACAAGGGGACAGGAGGGGACAAAGCAGCGCCCACCAUCAUCAUCCCCCGUGUCACCCAUGUUCCCUCCCAUGUACCCCUAUGUCCCCACCGUGUCCCUCCAGGCUGCAGUGAUGGACAUGGACCCACUCAGUGAGGGGCUCUACGGGCGAGACCCCCUGAGACCACCGUGUGUGUCCGUGUCCCCCCGUCCCAGGGACAAGGUGCUCCCAGGUGUCCUUAAGGGACACAGUGUCCCUGUGUCCUGCCCAGUUCCCCCCUCAGGUCCCCCUGGGGGGAACCCACAGUUGGAGGUGGUGCUGAGGCAGAUCCACAGCCUGAAGAAAGUCCGUCAGGCCAUGGCGCAGGAGCUGCUGAAGGCACAAGACCGCAGUGAGGGGUUGCGCCAGAACCUGGAGCAGCUGGAGCAGCACGAAGAGGCGCUGGAGGGGCUCUGGAAGCAGGCCCAGGGUGAGCCCAGGGGGCCCUGGGGUCUUUGUGCCCCCUCCCAAACCUUCCCCGAUGCCCCCUGAACCUCUGACCCCCUUGACCCCUCCAGAUCCUUCCUGACCCCCACAAUUCCCUGACCCUUGUGGCACCCCCACCUCCCCCAGAGGGGGUGACCCCUGCUGUGUGUCCCCCCCACAGAGGGACCCCCCUGACCCCCCAUAAUCCUCCCUGAGCCCUCCAACCCCCCUGAUUCCCUCCAACCUCCCUGACCUCAACCCUUGUGACCCCCGGCACCGUCCUGACCCCCCAACCACCCCAGAGUCACUGUGGAGAGCGCAGCUGCAGGGGAAGGAUGUGGAGGCCAAAGGUCAGAGGUGAGUGGGGACACCUGCGACCCUCCUCAACCUCACCUGUGCCCACCUCUGACUGCCCCCCAAACACACCUGGUGAGCCCUGACCCCCGCAGGCACAGGAGGCUCUGCCUGGAGCAGCAGCAGGACCUGGAAGG